UACGUAGGGUGCAAGCGUUGUCCGGAAUUAUUGGGCGUAAAGAGCUCGUAGGCGGUCUGUCGCGUCUGCUGUGAAAACCUGGGGCUCAACCCCGGGCCUGCAGCCGAUACGGGCAAGCUAGAAUUCGGUAGGGGAGACUGGAAUUCCUGGUGUAGCGGUGAAAUGCGCAGAUAUCAGGAGGAACACCGGUGGCGAAGGCGGGUCUCUGGGCCGAAAUUGACGCUGAGGAGCGAAAGCGUGGGGAGCAAACAGG
rnacentral:rRNA from 1 species